rnacentral:rRNA from 1 species
CAGCAUGAGUUAUGUCAUGUUAUCGAUAUGUGAAUACAUAGCAUAUCAGAAGGCACACCCGGAGAACUGAAACAUCUUAGUACCCGGAGGAAGAGAAAGAAAAUUCGAUUCCCUUAGUAGCGGCGAGCGAAACGGGAAGAGCCCAAACCAACAAGCUUGCUUGUUGGGGUUGUAGGACACUCUAUACGGAGUUACAAAGGACGACAUUAGACGAAUCAUCUGGAAAGAUGAAUCAAAGAAGGUAAUAAUCCUGUAGUCGAAAAUGUUGUCUCUCUUGAGUGGAUCCUGAGUACGACGGAGCACGUGAAAUUCCGUCGGAAUCUGGGAGGACCAUCUCCUAAGGCUAAAUACUCUCUAGUGACCGAUAGUGAACCAGUACCGUGAGGGAAAGGUGAAAAGCACCCCGGAAGGGGAGUGAAAUAGAACCUGAAACCGUGUGCUUACAAGUAGUCAGAGCCCGUUAAUGGGUGAUGGCGUGCCUUUUGUAGAAUGAACCGGCGAGUUACGAUUUGAUGCAAGGUUAAGCAGUAAAUGUGGAGCCGUAGCGAAAGCGAGUCUGAAUAGGGCGUUUAGUAUUUGGUCGUAGACCCGAAACCAGGUGAUCUACCCUUGGUCAGGUUGAAGUUCAGGUAACACUGAAUGGAGGACCGAACCGACUUACGUUGAAAAGUGAGCGGAUGAACUGAGGGUAGCGGAGAAAUUCCAAUCGAACCUGGAGAUAGCUGGUUCUCUCCGAAAUAGCUUUAGGGCUAGCCUCAAGUGAUGAUUAUUGGAGGUAGAGCACUGUUUGGACGAGGGGCCCCUCUCGGGUUACCGAAUUCAGACAAACUCCGAAUGCCAAUUAAUUUAACUUGGGAGUCAGAACAUGGGUGAUAAGGUCCGUGUUCGAAAGGGAAACAGCCCAGACCACCAGCUAAGGUCCCAAAAUAUAUGUUAAGUGGAAAAGGAUGUGGCGUUGCCCAGACAACUAGGAUGUUGGCUUAGAAGCAGCCAUCAUUUAAAGAGUGCGUAAUAGCUCACUAGUCGAGUGACACUGCGCCGAAAAUGUACCGGGGCUAAACAUAUUACCGAAGCUGUGGAUUGUCCUUUGGACAAUGGUAGGAGAGCGUUCUAAGGGCGUUGAAGCAUGAUCGUAAGGACAUGUGGAGCGCUUAGAAGUGAGAAUGCCGGUGUGAGUAGCGAAAGACGGGUGAGAAUCCCGUCCACCGAUUGACUAAGGUUUCCAGAGGAAGGCUCGUCCGCUCUGGGUUAGUCGGGUCCUAAGCUGAGGCCGACAGGCGUAGGCGAUGGAUAACAGGUUGAUAUUCCUGUACCACCUAUAAUCGUUUUAAUCGAUGGGGGGACGCAGUAGGAUAGGCGAAGCGUGCGAUUGGAUUGCACGUCUAAGCAGUAAGGCUGAGUAUUAGGCAAAUCCGGUACUCGUUAAGGCUGAGCUGUGAUGGGGAGAAGACAUUGUGUCUUCGAGUCGUUGAUUUCACACUGCCGAGAAAAGCCUCUAGAUAGAAAAUAGGUGCCCGUACCGCAAACCGACACAGGUAGUCAAGAUGAGAAUUCUAAGGUGAGCGAGCGAACUCUCGUUAAGGAACUCGGCAAAAUGACCCCGUAACUUCGGGAGAAGGGGUGCUCUUUAGGGUUAACGCCCAGAAGAGCCGCAGUGAAUAGGCCCAAGCGACUGUUUAUCAAAAACACAGGUCUCUGCUAAACCGUAAGGUGAUGUAUAGGGGCUGACGCCUGCCCGGUGCUGGAAGGUUAAGAGGAGUGGUUAGCUUCUGCGAAGCUACGAAUCGAAGCCCCAGUAAACGGCGGCCGUAACUAUAACGGUCCUAAGGUAGCGAAAUUCCUUGUCGGGUAAGUUCCGACCCGCACGAAAGGCGUAACGAUUUGGGCACUGUCUCAACGAGAGACUCGGUGAAAUCAUAGUACCUGUGAAGAUGCAGGUUACCCGCGACAGGACGGAAAGACCCCGUGGAGCUUUACUGUAGCCUGAUAUUGAAAUUCGGCACAGCUUGUACAGGAUAGGUAGGAGCCUUUGAAACGUGAGCGCUAGCUUACGUGGAGGCGCUGGUGGGAUACUACCCUAGCUGUGUUGGCUUUCUAACCCGCAC